rnacentral:rRNA from 1 species
AACGAACGCUGGCGGCAGGCUUAACACAUGCAAGUCGAACGCCCCGCAAGGGGAGUGGCAGACGGGUGAGUAACGCGUGGGAACGUGCCCUAAGGUACGGAACAACUCCGGGAAACUGGAGCUAAUACCGUAUGUGACCGAGAGGUGAAAGAUUUAUCGCCUUAGGAUCGGCCCGCGUCAGAUUAGCUAGUUGGUGGGGUAAUGGCCUACCAAGGCGACGAUCUGUAGCUGCUCUGAGAGGAAGAUCAGCCACACUGGGACUGAGACACGGCCCAGACUCCUACGGGAGGCAGCAGUGGGGAAUCUUGGACAAUGGGCGCAAGCCUGAUCCAGCCAUGCCGCGUGAGUGAAGAAGGCCUUAGGGUUGUAAAGCUCUUUCGUCCGGGACGAUAAUGACGGUACCGGAAGAAGAAGCCCCGGCUAACUUCGUGCCAGCCGCCGCGGUAA